rnacentral:sRNA from 1 species
GCUGGGCAUGGUGACCCAUGCCUGUAAUCCCAGCUACUUGGGAGGCUGAGGCAGGAAGAUCUUAAAUUGGAGGCCAGCCUCAUCAACUUAGUAGGUUCCUGUCUUGA